rnacentral:rRNA from 1 species
CCCUUAGAUGUUCUGGGCCGCACGCGCGCUACAAUGAUGAAUUCAACGAGUUUAUAACCUUGGUUGAAAAGCCUGGGUAAUCUUUUGAACUUUCGUCGUGAUGGGGCUAGACCCUUGCAAUUAUUGGUCUCCAACGAGGAAUUCCUAGUAAACGCAAGUCAUCAGCUCGCGUUGAUUACGUCCCUGCCCUUUGUACACACCGCCCGUCGCUACUACCGAUUGAACGGUUUAGUGAGGGCCUCGGAUUGGUCUCGGCCCGCUCUUUACCGGGCGGCGCCGUUGGUCGAGAAGACGCUCGAACUUGAUCGUUUAGAGGAAGUAAAAGUCGUAACA